rnacentral:rRNA from 1 species
UAAAGGUUUGGUCCUGACUUUACUAUCAACUUUAGCUAAACUUACACAUGCAAGUAUCCGCACCCCUGUGAGAAUGCCCUACAGUUCCCUGCUCGGGAACAAGGAGCCGGUAUCAGGCACACCCCAAAUACAAGCCCAUGACACCUUGCUUAGCCACACCCCCAAGGGAACUCAGCAGUGAUAAACAUUAAGCCAUAAGUGAAAACUUGACUUAGUUAAAGCUAAGAGGGCCGGUAAAACUCGUGCCAGCCACCGCGGUUAUACGAGAGACCCAAGUUGUUAGACACCGGCGUAAAGAGUGGUUAAGAUACCCCCCCCAACUAAAGCCGAACGCCCUCAGAGCUGUUAUACGCAUCCGAAGGUAAGAAGCCCGACCACGAAAGUGGCUUUAUAUUGUCCGAGCCCACGAAAGCUAUGACACAAACUAGGAUUAGAUACCCU